GCCCAGUAGCGGCGAGUGAAGCGGCAAGAGCUCAGAUUUGGAAUCGUGUUUCGGCACGAGUUGUAAAUUGCAGGUUGGAGUCUUUGUGGAAGCGUGUGUCCAAGUCCCUUGGAACAGGGCGCCAUUGAGGGUGAGAGCCCCGUGGGAUGCGCGCGGAAGCAACAAGGCCCUUCUGACGAGUCGAGUUGUUUGGGAAUGCAGCUCUAAGCGGGUGGUAAAUUCCAUCUAAGGCUAAAUACUGGCGAGAGACCGAUAGCGAACAAGUACUGUGAAGGAAAGAUGAAAAGCACUUUGAAAAGAGAGUGAAACAGCACGUGAAAUUGUUGAAAGGGAAGGGUAUUGGGCCCGACAUGGGGAUUGCGCAUCUCUGCUCCUUGUGGGCGGGGCGCUGUGCUUUUCCUGGGCCAGCAUCGGUUUUUGCCGCAGGAGAAGGGGUACUGGAAUGUGGCUCCUCGGAGUGUUAUAGCCAGUGCCAGAUGCUGCGUGCGGGGACCGAGGGCUGCGACAUCUGUCUCGGAUGCUGGCACAACGGCGCAAUACCGCCCGUCUU
rnacentral:rRNA from 1 species